UACGGAGGGUGCAAGCGUUGUCCGGAAUCACUGGGCGUAAAGGGCGCGUAGGCGGCUCAUGAAGGCUGUGGUGAAAGUCCGGGGCUCAACCUCGGAUCGGCCGUGGCGACUCGUGGGCUGGAGCACUGUAGAGGCGGGUGGAAUUCCGGGUGUAGCGGUGGAAUGCGUAGAGAUCCGGAAGAACACCAGUGGCGAAGGCGGCCCGCUGGGCAGUGGCUGACGCUGGAGGCGCGACAGCGUGGGGAGCAAACAGG
rnacentral:rRNA from 1 species